GCGAACAGACGAGGAGCUUGCUCCUCUGACGUUAGCGGCGGACGGGUGAGUAACACGUGGAUAACCUACCUAUAAGACUGGGAUAACUUCGGGAAACCGGAGCUAAUACCGGAUAAUAUAUUGAACCGCAUGGUUCAAUAGUGAAAGACGGUUUUGCUGUCACUUAUAGAUGGAUCCGCGCCGCAUUAGCUAGUUGGUAAGGUAACGGCUUACCAAGGCAACGAUGCGUAGCCGACCUGAGAGGGUGAUCGGCCACACUGGAACUGAGACACGGUCCAGACUCCUACGGGAGGCAGCAGUAGGGAAUCUUCCGCAAUGGGCGAAAGCCUGACGGAGCAACGCCGCGUGAGUGAUGAAGGUCUUCGGAUCGUAAAACUCUGUUAUUAGGGAAGAACAAAUGUGUAAGUAACUAUGCACGUCUUGACGGUACCUAAUCAGAAAGCCACGGCUAACUACGUGCCAGCAGCCGCGGUAAUACGUAGGUGGCAAGCGUUAUCCGGAAUUAUUGGGCGUAAAGCGCGCGUAGGCGGUUUUUUAAGUCUGAUGUGAAAGCCCACGGCUCAACCGUGGAGGGUCAUUGGAAACUGGAAAACUUGAGUGCAGAAGAGGAAAGUGGAAUUCCAUGUGUAGCGGUGAAAUGCGCAGAGAUAUGGAGGAACACCAGUGGCGAAGGCGACUUUCUGGUCUGUAACUGACGCUGAUGUGCGAAAGCGUGGGGAUCAAACAGGAUUAG
rnacentral:rRNA from 1 species